rnacentral:lncRNA from 1 species
AUGCUGGACACCAUCCUCCCUUCGCUGCAGGACGUUGGCAGGCACCUGCUGCCCACACUGCCCUCGCUGAGCCAGGAGGAAGUUUCUACUAUUUGGGGAAAUGUGUCAGAAUUUGUGGAACGGCAGCUGUCCUUACACAAGGGAGUUCAGAUUCCGGGACUUGGAACUUUCACUUUCAUGAGACAAAAGCUUGAGGUGGGAAAUAAGAAGUUUUUCCUAAUUCAGAGGCCGGUAUUUGUCAUGGCAGAGAAGUUACUACAGAUGCAUGGACUCAAACAAAACAGAGUAUAUACUCCUGGUGAUAUCCCAAUAGUUCCACUUAAUUUUGUCAUGAUAUCCUUGGAGGGUCCAUUUAGCAGAGAUAUAGUGGAAGGAUGUGUGAAGGAGACGCUGCUUUUUUUGUCACGAUCCAUUUCCAUCAAACAAAAUGUGGAGUUUACAUUCAAAGGAAUUGGGGUCCUCAUGAUCAAAGACAGCAAAGUCAAGAUGAGAUUCUAUAAGGACUUCCUUUGUACAAUGGAUGGAAGCGGGGCUUUGGCAAAAGCCCUAGCAAAUAGGCCUGACACAGUGGACUCAGUGUUGUCUAGCAGAGAGAACUUGGGGAAGCGACCCAACAGCGUGCUUGCAUUUCCAAUUUUAUCACCCAAGACAGCUCAAGAUAGACCAGCUGUCUCUACUGCCAAAGGGACAAAUGCCAGUUUGCCAAAUAAACUGGAGCAGAAUGGGAGUGGUGGGAAGAAUAUGAACCAUGAAAGUGUAUCAUUUCCAGGUGGACUGAAAAAUGAUCAUGCAUUGAAGCCUAAAAUUUCUCCAGGCACUUCUUGCAAGGACCAUCAUAGGGCAGGACAGGAAAUGUGUUACAUAUGCUUGCAACGAGCACAGCGAAAUUCCCCACUGUACUACACCGAGGAGAGGAGGAGGAGAGAGAUGCAAGAUGAGCGAGUCAUCCAGGAGUAUCUCAUGUUGAAAGACCAAGAGACUAUCUUCAAAGAGCAGAUGAGAAGUCUGGCUAGCAGAGAACAGAAUCAAAAGAAUGCCGCCUAUAAUCUUGGAGUUGCUGAAGCUAUAAGAAUCCACAAGAAUGAGAAACCUGAAUUUUAUAAAUCCUUCCUAUUUGAUAAACGGCCACUCAGUCCUGAGAUUAAUGCUUUUAAGCAAGAGGAGUAUUCCCAAAGUCUCUUGAGACAAAUGGAUCACAGACGGAAAAAGGACAUAAAGCAAAGGCAAAACAGAGAGCUGAUGGACCGCCUGGAACAAGUGCAGCUCACAGAGGAACUUGCUGCGCAAAGAGCCAAAUAUAUAAAAGAUAAGAUGGAAGAAACACAGUGUUACAAGAGAGCUCUGGAUGCCCAGAUAAAGAACAGAUGCCCUCAGCUGCCUGUGUUUGAGCCAGACUCUUCUAAGCCCAUCUUUGGUAAGAAUGAGGGUGAGAUGAUGGUGGAAAAGCGAAAGAGAGACCAGAAUUACAUGAAGCAUCAGAUGGAGGCCGCUGCUAACAACAAGAGGAGAGCCAUCCUGCACCAGCUGGUGGACCAAAAGCGGGAUUUGCUGAUGCUUCAGAGGACACACAAAGAGCACUUGGCAGACAGAAAUGCUGAGCUUGAGCGAGUGAACAGAAUCAACCAAAGCUUACAGGAUGACUGGGAAAGGAGUGCUGUCAUGAAGAAGCAUCGAGACUUGGAGGAGAAGGCUUUUGAGCGGGCCUCCGACAAGCUCUUCCUGCUGGACCAAUGUGAGAAGUACCGGCGCUGCAAGCAGUGCCAGAGGCGCACCUCCAACAGGGGCGAGAGCAACCUGUGGCCCCUCAACAAGUACAUGCACGGCUCCCGGUUGUUCGUAUAA